rnacentral:misc_RNA from 1 species
UGUGGGAGCGAGCUUGCUCGCGAUAGCGUCGGCAAAUCCACUAUCGAUGUCGACUGAUAGACCGCCAUCGCGAGCAAGCUCGCUCCCACA